rnacentral:rRNA from 1 species
AUACAGCAUGAGACCACGGGGCCUUUGGGCUCCGAGGUAAAAGCAGGCCUCUGUACACAAGCUUGCGCUCUUGGAUGGGCCCGCGGCCCAUCAGCUAGUUGGUGAGGUAACGGCUCACCAAGGCAACGACGGGUAGCUGGUCUGAGAGGAUGGCCAGCCACACUGGAACUGAGACACGGUCCAGACUCCUACGGGAGGCAGCAGUGGGGAAUCUUGCGCAAUGGACGAAAGUCUGACGCAGCGACGCCGCGUGGGUGACGAAGGCCUUCGGGUUGUAAAGCCCUGUGGGGAGGAACGAACCGGCAUUUGGUUAAUACCCGAGUGCCCUGACGGUACCUCUUUAGCAAGCACCGGCUAACUCUGUGCCAGCAGCCGCGGUAAGACAGAGGGUGCAAACGUUGCUCGGAAUUACUGGGCGUAAAGCGCGUGUAGGUGGUCUGGUCAGUCGGACGUGAAAGCCCGGGGCUCAACCCCGGAAGUGCAUUCGAUACUGCCAGGCUGGAGUACUGAAGAGGAGAGCGGAAUUCCCGGUGUAGAGGUGAAAUUCGUAGAUAUCGGGAGGAACACCAGUGGCGAAGGCGGCUCUCUGGGCAGAUACUGACACUGAGACGCGAAAACGUGGGGAGCAAACAGGAUUAGAUACCCUGGUAGUCCACGCCGUAAACGAUGACGACUGGGUGUUGCGGGUAUUGACCCCCGCGGUGCCGAAGCCAACGCGUUAAGUCGUCCGCCUGGGAAGUACGGCCGCAAGGCUAAAACUCAAAGGAAUUGACGGAAUCGAAUU